UACGUAGGGGGCAAGCGUUGUCCGGCUUUAUUGGGCGUACAGAGCGUGUAGGCGGCCUUACAGGUCAGCUGUGAAAACUCGAGGCUCAACCUCGAGACGUCGGUUGAAACCGUAUGGCUAGAGUCCGGAAGAGGAGAGUGGAAUUCCCGGUGUAGCGGUGAAAUGCGCAGAUAUCGGGAAGAACACCCGUGGCGAAGGCGGCUCUCUGGGACGGUACUGACGCUGAGACGCGAAAGCGUGGGGAGCGAACAGG
rnacentral:rRNA from 1 species